CCUUGUAGAUCCAGCUCACGUCGGCUCGACUACUAAUCAACAGCAGCAGUCAAGCUCGUCUUUCGAAUCGGAUCUGACCAGUUCACCCGGGGGGGGGGGGGGGGGGGGGGGGGGGGGGGGGGGUGUGGGGAGGGUUUAACAAUUACAACAGCGAGGGAUGCCGUGCUGCGAUUACCAAUAUUAUUUUGAGACUAAAAAAGGAGCAAAACAGGGAAGGUGAGGGAGUGUGGGAAAAUACAUCUAAAAUGGGUUUUAGGUGGAGACAUGGGGACGAGGAGUGGGUAUUUGGUGGCAUAUCAGCUUCAAAGGUUCGGUUGGCACCCCCCCCCCCCCCCCCCCCCCCCCCCGCCCACCUGCUCUCUCUUUACUCUAUUCCUCGUCCCAGACAAAAAAAUGAAUACCGCAUUUCCCGUCAUCCAUCCAAUGCUCAUUUCCUCAGUUGACCUCAGACCAAAAAAUACAUCAGCACGUCCCACCCAUCACCAUAUAUUUCUUCCUUUUUUUUCCCCUCCUCCUAUCCUUCCCCCAUCUAUGAAACUGAGGGUCGGGAUGUGAUCCGACCGGCACUCAAUGGGUGACUGACAUGAUCUUGAAGCCCCUAAGAACCGGACUUGUGACUGUCGACAAAUGGAAAUUUCUGAGAUCUUUGCGUCAGCAUGCAACCAGGUUCUUGCUAGAUCUGGCCUUUCGACCCGAUCAAUCUCAAAUGUUGCACGUUUAUGAAGCCUAUGAUGAGGACUUGGAACUCCCUAUGCAAUGUGGAAUCUAGGGAGCCAAAAUUUAUUACCCAAUCGAGUACUGUCGAAAGACGUGGUUCCUCAAAAGUUGACGGGAGAAUAUGAGCUUCGAGAGCCUUCAGACGGUCCCCGGAAUUUCCGCACUUGAGAAGCAAAGAAACUCUAUGAACAGAGAGGAUAUAUCAUUAAAGCAGGAAACAUUUGGUUUUAAGACUCAUUACUCGAAUUCAGAAGGGCAACACGGUUAUGGGUGAUAAAAUUUCUAAUUAGUAAUGAGACAGAGCAAGAUAUUCAAUGCAUCUAUGUGAUGAUAGUGUUUGUCCAAACUCUUCUCAAUAUGACAGAAAAAGGAUGAUAUUGAA